UGGCCAGUCUAAAGCUUUCUUCUCCAUUUCUUCAUUUUCCAUUUCCAAGUUGAAGUCUUGAGUAGGUUAGAUACUAAACCAUUUCACCUAGUGAAAGAGCUCGAAAAAGAGGUAGGUUUAUUCUAAGAUAUCUAUUCUAACUAAUAAGCUUGAUAUUGGAUGUCUUAGUUGAGCAUAUAUGUAUAUACUUAUAUUGAGAUGUUGGCUUGUUGGUUGAUUUGUUUAAUGGGAAUAGAUAGCCAAGGAAGGUUAUUGAUCAUUAUCAAACAAGGUAAGUGGAUGGCUUUACUGACUGGGUUCAUAUUAACUAAGUGGCUAUGAAGUUCCCCUGAAUGUUAAUGGAUACUUUAAGUUGAGAAAGUCAUUGAUCUAUUGAGCUAAUGAGAACAUUGAGAAUGGAAUGGGGGUGCGAGUUGCCCUUGAGUCAUGUAUUGACUCUAAACCUCCGGAGGAUUGUUAAUCGGAGUUUGCAAUGGUUUCGAGGAUCAAAGACAUGAGUGGAAGCUAUAUUGAGGGGAUCGAGUCGAGAACAAGGAGAUGGUUAGGGACUUCUGUGUCUAGGAUGCUGUAGUUACCUUUUGAUGAUGGGGAAUCGAGCUUGAAAAGUGACCUCUUAAGAGGCUGCAUUAUUCUGUAUGGUUGAAGCGUACGACUAUUCUUGGCUCUUAUAGAUAUUGUAUAUGUACGUUGGGCACUCUAGUUCAGGUUUUCUUGUGUAAAAGAUGUUGAACAAAAUAUCUAUGAGCAAGAUUUAUAAAACAGCAAAGAGGCAAAUGAGUUUA